GACCUAGUGGUGCAAUGGUAGGCCGUCUGACUCCAGAUCAGAAGGUUGCGUGUUCAAAUCACGUCGUGUUCA
rnacentral:tRNA from 1 species